rnacentral:lncRNA from 10 species
GUGAUUAUGGAAGAAAUAUUUGUAGAGGACCUUCUUGCCUAAUGGCAUAAACCCCUGUGGAUUUUGUGGGAGUCCUUAGGCUUUUGAAAAUGUAAUAUCAGCAGAAACAUUGCCAACCUGUACUGAACAGUACAGAGAGAAGUUAAAAUGGAGGAAGAAUGGCUCUGAGGAGGGAGCCUCUGAUGUCUAGGCUCAUAAGACCUAUUGGUUCCAGAAGGUGGGAUCAACUCUUGGUUCUGAAGUGUGAGGCUGCCAUUCAAGACCAAGUAAGAAGGCUACCUUGGAAGGCCCAGAAGACAGAGUAUUGAGCCAGAGAGAAUUAUACUCAAGUCUUAAAACCUAGAUGGAAAAAAUCUUUGCUUGAGAAGGAACCAUAUCCUGAGUCUUACCCAUAAAAGGAUUUUGAUGAGAUUUUGGACCUUAAGUUGAUAUUGGAAUAGUUAAGACUUUUGGAUCAGGUGAAUGUGGUUUGCAUACAGAAAGGCCAUGCUUUAUUUUUAUUUUUAUUUUUUGAUGGGGGAAGCAAAGGGAAGACUUUUAAAGGUUGAAUUGUGUCCCCAAAAGCUAUGUUGGAGUCUUAAUUCUCAGUAUCUCAGAAGGUGAAUUUACCUGGAAAUAGAUUGCAGCAGAUGAAAUUAAUUAAGUUAAUACAAGGUUAUACUAGAUUAGGAUGGGCUUCUAGUUCAAUAUGACUGAGAUUAUUAUAAGACAACAAAAUAAAUACAUGAAAAAACACAAAAAUGCAGGGAGAGUUCUAUAUAAUGGUGAAUUCAGAGAUUGAAAUUUUGCAGUUGCAAAGGAUGAAAAGUUAAAGAUUAUUGGUGGUACCAGAAGCUAAAACCAUGGAACAUAUUCUCCCUUACAGUCUUCAAGAAAGCAUGAGUAUGCUGACACAUUGAUUUUGGACUUCUAGCCUCAGACCAUUGAGAGAAAAUUAAUUUAUGUUGUUUUCAGCCACCCAGUUUGUGGCACUUUGUUAUAGCAGCCCUGGGAAACUAGUGCACUAAAUGUAUAUACAUAAGCUUUUUUUUGUAGCAUCUUUGAGCUGUCAUGUAUUUUUAAAUAUUUGAUUGCUAAAAAUUUGCUAUUACUGAAGGGAUUCUGAAGGGCUACUGGCUCCACAUAUUUUACACAUUAAACCUUUCCAA